rnacentral:lncRNA from 1 species
UGAAGUUACGCAGUUACGUGUGGUGGUUGUCACGAUGGAAGAGGGCGGUGCUAAGGGCAGUGGUGGAGAAAAUAGAAGAGAAGAAUGGCGGCAAAGUGGAGGUCUAGUGGUGACGAUGGUGGUUCGAGGCAAAUGAGUGGUGGAGGAUAGGAGAAAAAAUAAUAUAAAUGGUGGUUGAUGGCUAAAAUAAAAGAAAAAGGGAGAAAAUAGGAAGGGGCAAAAGAGGGGGUGGAAAAAAUGAAUAGAGAAAUAAAAGAUGAGGAACAAAGGUGUCAUUCACCUUGUCCAGGUUCAAUGUAUGUCACACAAGGUAAGGGUGAAGAAAAUAGGCAUGUAGAGGGGAUAAAGGAGCAAAAAGGGGAUCAUAGGAGUGAAAAGGGGGCUAUCGAGGGAAUGUUGACC